rnacentral:rRNA from 1 species
CCUACGGGAGGCAGCAGUGAGGAAUAUUGGUCAAUGGCCGGAAGGCUGAACCAGCCAUGCCGCGUGAAGGUCAGUGCCCUAUGGGCGUUAAACUUCUUUUGUGCGGGAGCAAUAAUGGUCACGUGUGGCCAGACGAGAGUACCGUACGAAUAAGCAUCGGCUAACUCCGUGCCAGCAGCCGCGGUAAUACGGGGGAUGCAAGCGUUAUCCGGAUUUAUUGGGUUUAAAGGGUGCGUAGGCUGUGAGGUAAGUCAGCGGUGAAAUGCCCCCGCUCAACGGGGUGAAGUGCCAUUGAUACUGCCUGGCUGGAAUGCGGAUGACGUGGGAGGAAUGUGUGGUGUAGCGGUGAAAUGCAUAGAUAUCACACAGAACACCGAUUGCGAAGGCAUCUCACGAAUCCGCGAUUGACGCUGAUGCACGAAAGCGUGGGUAUCAAACAGGAUUAGAUACCCUGGUAGUC